UACGUAGGGGGCUAGCGUUGUCCGGAUUUAUUGGGCGUAAAGCGCGUGUAGGCGGCCGUGCAAGUCGGGUGUGAAAGCCCCCGGCUCAACUGGGGAGGGUCAUUCGAUACUGGCCGACUCGAAGGCAGGAGAGGGAAGCGGAAUUCCCGGUGUAGUGGUGAAAUGCGUAGAUAUCGGGAGGAACACCAGUGGCGAAGGCGGCUUCCUGGCCUGUUCUUGACGCUGAGGCGCGAAAGCUAGGGGAGCAAACGGG
rnacentral:rRNA from 1 species